rnacentral:tRNA from 2 species
GCUACCGUGGUGGAAUGGCAGACACCGGAGACUUAAAAUCUCCUGUCGGCAACGACGUGCCCGUUCAAGUCGGGUCGGUAGCA